rnacentral:rRNA from 1 species
UACGGAGGGUGCGAGCGUUGUUCGGAUUUAUUGGGCUUAAAGGGUGCGCAGGUGGCUCGGUCAGUUAGUGGUGAAAUGCGGCCGCUCAACGGUCGAACUGCCAUUGAUACUGCCUGGCUUGAGAGGAGUGGAGGCCGCCGGAACGGACGGUGUAGCGGUGAAAUGCAUAGAGAUCGUCCAGAACGCCGAUGGCGAAGGCAGGUGGCUACGCUUCGUCUGACACUGAGGCACGAAAGCGUGGGGAGCGAACAGG